CCGCGAAGGGGCGCCGGGAGCGCCGGGUACAGUCGGGCUGGCUCCGCACCCUCGAGUUCCGGGCGUCUUCGUGAGCGCGGGGGCACGGGGCAGGGGCGCCGCGGGAGUCGCGAGCGUGUCUAUCAGUUACACGCGGUACUUGAUCGCGCUGUUGCCGACGGUACUGUCUUUUCCUCUACUGCCGUGCACUCUUGAGGGAGGCGGUGGCGACAAUGGGCCAGAGGUGAUAGUUGGAACGGGGGACUUGUAAGGCGUCCAGAGCAGAGAGCUGCUUCCACCCUGAGAUGUCACAGCCCUCCCGCAUGCUCCUCCCUGCUGCCUGCCCCCGGGGUGGCCGCCGGCACCGCAGCUCGGCGCCCAAACCGGCACGUCCCAAGCCCGACGUUCCGGUGACUGCAGGGGUUUUCCCGGUGCUCGGUGUUUCCUCCCCGUCGGCCUUUAAACGCGAAUGUGACCCUACCACCAAAGUGGAGUGCAGUCCAGAAUCACCAAACCUGGGCUUCCAGGUGUCUGGAAACACAAUGUUAACAUUUGUUUUGCUCCAAAACAAAACGUUUUAGUCCAGCCCCAAAUUUUGCCUCUGAGCAAGAUUCCCAGGACCUCAUUGGAGCAGUUUACAGCCAGUCUUAUCUCACUAUUAACUUCCAUUUUCUGCUGUAGUACUUAAAGUGACAGAAGUUACUCUUCCUAGAAGUAACUUUUCCAGACGAUUCAAACUGCUGUUAUACAGAGAUUUAAGUAUUUGUGUGCAUGUGUGAAAACAGAGAUAUGUAAUGUAUAUAUUUCAUUUUAUUUCCACUGUUCUGCUUCUCUUUUUAAAAAUAAAGCGGUCUCCUCCACUUUGGGUAAAUCUUUC
rnacentral:lncRNA from 1 species